rnacentral:rRNA from 1 species
UACGUAGGGGGCAAGCGUUAUCCGGAUUUACUGGGUGUAAAGGGAGCGCAGGUGGCACUGCAAGUCAGAUGUGAAAGCCCGUGGCUUAACCGCGGGAUUGCAUCAGAAACUGCAGUGCUAGAGUGCAGGAGAGGUAAGCGGAAUUCCUAGUGUAGCGGUGAAAUGCGUAGAUAUUAGGAGGAACAUCAGUGGCGAAGGCGGCUUACUGGACUGUAACUGACACUGAGGCUCGAAAGCGUGGGGAGCAAACAGGAUUAGAUACC